rnacentral:rRNA from 1 species
AUUGAACGCUGGCGGCAUGCUUUACACAUGCAAGUCGAACGGUAACAGGCCGCAAGGUGCUGACGAGUGGCGAACGGGUGAGUAAUGCAUCGGAACGUGCCCAGUCGUGGGGGAUAACGCAGCGAAAGCUGCGCUAAUACCGCAUACGAUCUAUGGAUGAAAGCGGGGGACCGUAAGGCCUCGCGCGAUUGGAGCGGCCGAUGUCAGAUUAGGUAGUUGGUGGGGUAAAGGCUCACCAAGCCAACGAUCUGUAGCUGGUCUGAGAGGACGACCAGCCACACUGGGACUGCGACACGGCCCAGACUCCUACGGGAGGCAGCGGUGGGGAAUUUUGGACAAUGGGCGCAAGCCUGAUCCAGCAAUGCCGCGUGCAGGAAGAAGGCCUUCGGGUUGUAAACUGCUUUUGUACGGAACGAAACGGUCCUGGUUAAUACCUGGGGCUAAUGACGGUACCGUAAGAAUAAGCACCGGCUAACUACGUGCCAGCAGCCGCAGUAAAAC